CCUACGGGUGGCUGCAGUCGGGAAUAUUGCGCAAUGGAGGAAACUCUGACGCAGUGACGCCGCGUAUAGGAAGAAGGUUUUCGGAUUGUAAACUAUUGUCGUUAGGGAAGAUAAAAGACUGUACCUACGGAGGACGUCUCGGCUAACUAUGUGCCAGCAGCCGCGGUAAUACAUAGGGGGCAAGCGUUAUCCGGAAUUAUUGGGUGUAAAGGGUGCGUAGACGGAAGAUCAAGUUGGUUGUGAAAUCCCUCGGCUCAACUGGGGAACUGCAACCGAAACUAUGCUACUUGAGUGUCGGAGAGGAGAGUGGAAUUCCUAGUGUAGCGGUGAAAUGCGUAGAUAUUAGGAGGAACACCAGUGGCGAAGGCGACUCUCUGGACGGUAACUGACGUUGAGGCACGAAAGUGUGGGGAGCAAACAGGAUUAGAUACCCGUGUAGUC
rnacentral:rRNA from 1 species